GACGAACGCUGGCGGCGUGCUUAACACAUGCAAGUCGAACGGAAAGGCCCUGCUUUUGUGGGGUGCUCGAGUGGCGAACGGGUGAGUAACACGUGAGUAACCUGCCCUUGACUUUGGGAUAACUUCAGGAAACUGGGGCUAAUACCGGAUAGGAGCUCCUGCUGCAUGGUGGGGGUUGGAAAGUUUCGGCGGUUGGGGAUGGACUCGCGGCUUAUCAGCUUGUUGGUGGGGUAGUGGCUUACCAAGGCUUUGACGGGUAGCCGGCCUGAGAGGGUGACCGGCCACAUUGGGACUGAGAUACGGCCCAGGCUCCUACGGGAGGCAGCAGUGGGGAAUAUUGCACAAUGGGCGGAAGCCUGAUGCAGCAACGCCGCGUGCGGGAUGACGGCCUUCGGGUUGUAAACCGCUUUCGCCUGUGACGAAGCGUGAGUGACGGUAAUGGGUAAAGAAGCACCGGCUAACUACGUGCCAGCAGCCGCGGUGAUACGUAGGGUGCGAGCGUUGUCCGGAUUUAUUGGGCGUAAAGGGCUCGUAGGUGGUUGAUCGCGUCGGAAGUGUAAUCUUGGGGCUUAACCCUGAGCGUGCUUUCGAUACGGGUUGACUUGAGGAAGGUAGGGGAGAAUGGAAUUCCUGGUGGAGCGGUGGAAUGCGCAGAUAUCAGGAGGAACACCAGUGGCGAAGGCGGUUCUCUGGGCCUUUCCUGACGCUGAGGAGCGAAAGCGUGGGGAGUGGACAGGCUUAGAUACCCUGGUAGUCCACGCUGUAAACGGUGGGUACUAGGUGUGGGGUCCAUUCCACGGGUUCCGUGCCGUAGCUAACGCUUUAAGUACCCCGCCUGGGGAGUACGGCCGCAAGGCUAAAACUCAAAGGAAUUGACGGGGCCCCGCACAAGCGGCGGAGCAUGCGGAUUAAUUCGAUGCAACGCGUAGAACCUUACCUGGGUUUGACAUGGAUCGGGAGUGCUCAGAGAUGGGUGUGCCUCUUUUGGGGUCGGUUCACAGGUGGUGCAUGGCUGUCGUCAGCUCGUGUCGUGAGAUGUUGGGUUAAGUCCCGCAACGAGCGCAACCCUUGUUCACUGUUGCCAGCACGUUAUGGUGGGGACUCAGUGGAGACCGCCGGGGUCAACUCGGAGGAAGGUGGGGAUGACGUCAAGUCAUCAUGCCCCUUAUGUCCAGGGCUUCACGCAUGCUACGAUGGCUGGUACAGAGAGUGGCGAGCCUGUGAGGGUGAGCGAAUCUCGGAAAGCCGGUCUCAGUUCGGAUUGGGGUCUGCAACUCGACCUCAUGAAGUCGGAGUCGCUAGUAAUCGCAGAUCAGCAACGCUGCGGUGAAUACGUUCCCGGG
rnacentral:rRNA from 1 species